CCGAUAGUUCCCGAUCACAUCGUCCUCCUUCGAGAAUGGCACAGAUGUUGCCAGUUCAUUCGGCCGAAGCUGCGCCGUCGCGAGUUGAGAGUUGGCGGGCGGGAGUUGCUGAAAGAGUUUGAAAGUAGAUGUUCUUGAUCAGGUUCGUCGGAUAUCGCUCCAACCUCUGGAAGUAAUCCGAGUAUGACAGCUUCAGGACCUGCGGCUUUCGUACAGACGGUUCUUCCAGAACUGGUGCAAACUGUUCUUCCGGAUGUUUAUGUAAUACUCGUCAAACAUGUCCCGCACCGAGAAAUGGACUGCGGACCCUCAGAACAUCCCACACUGUCCCGUCAUCACUUCCGGCACAUAAUGCUGCUGAUGGUCGUAAACCGCCGGCACCGAGUGCAACAUCCGCGCUGACCACCUCCGAUCGCUUCUCGUCGUUUCCCUCUUCCGUCGGAUCCUUCUCCUCACUGUAGAGUCGCAACCGGGACUCCUUGAGACACGACGUUCCGGAUGCAGCACCAUCGCUGCCGAUCAUUAACCUCCCAACCACCCACUGACCUCAUGUCCGCUUCCGUCGUGUCCUGCUCCGGAUUCCGCCAACCGGUUCCUGCACAAUUCAAUCACACUCACACUUCCGCGCCAAUCGUUCACUCUCCACUGUUCACAGCGUAAACAUAAACACGCGCCUCUUUUCAUGCGCUGUCAAAAACCAAGUACACGCUUCAGUAAGGGAUAGUCUGUUUUGGGUUAUUAUUACCCGGUCAAUAUAUUUAUAUUGUUUACAUUAUUUUGAAGGACGAAAACCCUACAUCCCCAUCUUCCUUUAAAUAAAACAUUUGUUGGAUUUGAAUUCACUCUCAUUGACAAUUUCAAAUAUUUAAUCUCUUCAUCACUUGCUUCAAUAAUUUAUCAUUAGUUAAACUUGAGUUAAACUAAACAAAACCACAGCAAAAUACACAUCCGUUUCAACCAGUUAUCUAGCGAUCCCAAACUUAUUUACCGCUUAGUAAACAAGUUUGAUAAUUCAACAUUCAAGGCAAAACAAAUCAACGUCCUUAUCAACUGCCACAAUUACUUGCCGGAAUGCAACUAUUUAUUUUCAAAACAAAUUAGAAUUCAAAUCGUCUUCAGUUAUUUCCUACACAAGUGAAAAUAAACAUAUUUUUUUUAAGUAACACUCAAUCUCCCUCAACACAUUUGAAACAGUGAUGUUCAUUAGUUCACCAGCUAUGUUCUUCAUCCGCUCUCCCACUUCACCUUUUGAAUAAUUUUGAAAACAGUUAGUAUACUUCACUGAUCCUCAAACCAUUCGUAUGACCAAUAUGCAAUAUUAAUAAAUACAUUCUCACGAUUUCUCUACACUUCAAGCUAUCAAAACAUUAAAUUACGUUCUAUCCCGAUUUUUUUUAGUCAAUGCUCCAAUUUCUUCAUGAGAAUAAUUCUGAGAAUUUUGAACCCAAUAUAAGAUGUCACACAAGACACACAGAUUUAUCUGUUUAAGCUGCAAUGGAUUUAAGUCAUCAUAUUACAUAUAUAACAUACCAAUGGAAUGUGCUAAACAUCCUACUUUAUUUGAAUUGCUUUAAAAUAAAAUAUCUAUUUUUUUAUCGAUCCCGGAGUUAAUUCAAAAAUUUUACAAAAAAAAAAAAAUAAAUCAUUAAUUUAUUAUCAACACAACAAACCCUGAAAACCAUUUUUAAAAUUUUACUAGCGCAUUUACCAAAAAUUGCAUUAGUAGUUAGACUGUUCUUUUAUUCUUUAUCAUUUCAUAACUACAUUGAAUUCAACAACUCAUAUUUUAUGUAUAUCUCAUUUGGGCCAUGUUUUCAUCUUUUCUCUGUUUUGAAAUUCUGGUCAAUCACUUUGAUAUGAAAUCUCAACAUUUAUUAUCUGAAUAAAUUUCAAAAUCGUACAUAUUCAUACAGUUUGAUUAUUUUCAGUUCAAAUAACUAGCUAGAUCACUUUUGUUAUCACUCAUAAACUUACGACCAUUGGAUUGAAAAUUUAGUCGAUAACUCAUUCCGUACCGAAGAAGAGAACUUUACUGU